CCCCCGCCGCUGCCCGAGGCAGCCGUGCGCCGCCCCAGCCCGCGCAGCCCCGGCCGCGCCCGCCCCGUCCCAUCGCGCCCCUACUCGGCGCCGCUGUUCUCAGGUCGGCAGCCUCCGGGGCGCAGCGGGGAGGUGAGGAGGGUAGGGACCGCGGGCCGGCCAGCGCCCGGCGCCGGAGACGGGGAGCGCUGGGGAAAGCAGCGCCUUCCUUGCGCGCAGGGGACCCGGGAGCGCAGCGGGCGCGGGGCGCCGCGGGGCGCGGGGCGCGGGGCAGCGGGCGCGGGGCGGCGGCGGCCCCGGGCGGCUCUCCCACUAGGGGUAGCUGUUGCCUGAACGCCGGAGCGCUCCCCUCUCGCCGCUCGUCUCGCACGGCGCGGCCCCGGCCGCCGGGCGCACCCGUCCCGUGCGUCCCCGGACGUUGCUCUCUGCCCCGGGAACGUCGAGACUGGAGCGCCCGAGCUGAGCCACCUUCGCCGACCCCGAGCGCUGCGGCCCGACUCACCGCGGCGGCGCCCGGACGCGUAAAUGGGCGAUUUCUCUGCUGCCUGGGGCGGGGGCGCCGGGGGCUACCCAGCCCGGAAACUCCCCGCAGAGGAAGGCCAGCCUGGGCCUCGCUCUUCUCAGCGCGCACAUUGCCCCUCACCCCGCUGGGUAGGGGUCUUUCAGCACCUGCCCACGCUGCCUCCAGCCCGAGCUCAGGAGAGCCGCGCUUGUCCUUAGGGCCGCCAGCUGCUCUGGGGGAUCUGCUUCUGCUGUUUGGGCUGACAGCCUCCGCCCCACACCUCCGGAUUCCAGAACAUCGGUCAAGGUGCUCAGGACCAUCUGUGCAGAGCAACUCCUGGAGCCCAGAGAGGUUGGUGCUGGGCCCCCCUGCGGGAGGAGAUGGGCCAGCCCUCACACCUGGCGGAGAGUGUGGCAGAACUGCAGAGUCGUGUUUGAAAAGCCACUCUCCUCUCAGGAUGCUGCCCUGCCAAGCAGCUGCCCACAGCUUCUGAGCCACAUCCAAACCGCUUGGCCUGGCCUUCGAGGCCGCCAGGUGGGGCCUCCGCCUCCUGCCCCUGCCCAACCCUGACCCCGCGCUCCAGCCAUGGGAACAUCCGCCACAACCCCAUCGAAUGCCAGGCCCUUCCACGGCCGCUGCCCCCCGCAGGCCUUCGAGGAGCUGUGGCCAUCAGCCUUUCAACGAGGGGUCAGCCGAGGCUUGGGGAAGCGGGCGCCUUGCUCCGCCGACUGUGUCAGGACUUGGACCUGGGUCUUCUGGCUGCAAAGCCAGGCUCUUCACACUGAACCAUAAUUUCUCCACACUUGCUCCAUUGGCUAGUCCACCACCUUUUCUGGAACUCUUUUCCAUCUCGGCUUCCCAAACUCUAGUUGUCCUUCAAGGCUUGGCCCAGAUGUUGCCUCCCCCAGGCAGCCUCCUCAGACUACUUGCCAGAUCACCUCUCUCCUCCCCUUGCAGUCUGCCAUUGCCUUGACCUUGGUUCACCAUAGUCCUGGGGGGGAGGGGAGAUUGUGUUCCAGUGGCAGAGAUUGCUAGUUGCCCCCAAUAUCCAUUAUCCUCUCUUCCUAAAGCAAAAGAAAUGUCAAAUUUGAGUUGGGCACAUGACUGUCCGUUCAAGUUCUUAGCCUCCUUUGCAGCUACAUGUAGCUGUUUGACUAAAUCCUUGCCAAUGACAUGUGACCUGUGAAACCUCUGGGUCCUGCCUCCAGAAGGAAGAGACAUGGCUUCCCCUUCUUCUUCUUUCUGUUUGCACUGCUGCAUGACAGAGGUGAUGGCAGGAGCUGGAGCAGCCAUAUUGACUAUGGGUAGGAGCUGGGUGUUGAGGAUCACAGAGGAACAAGGUAGAAAGAACCUGGGUCACCACCACAUUGGCCUAGACUGCUAAAGCUCAGACUGUUACAUGAGAGAGGGGAAAAAAUACCCUUUGAUCUCAUUUAAUUCAGUGUUAGUUUGGCAUUUGUUAUAGCAGCCAAACUGUAUCCUAAUUAGUACUGACUCAGACUGAGAAGUUGAUUAACUGUUUGCAGAAUGGCUAAGGGAUUACUAACCAGA
rnacentral:lncRNA from 1 species